rnacentral:rRNA from 1 species
GAUGAACGCUAGCUACAGGCUUAACACAUGCAAGUCGAGGGGCAGCGGGAUUGAAGCUUGCUUCAAUUGCCGGCGACCGGCGCACGGGUGAGUAACGCGUAUCCAACCUUCCGCUUACUCGGGGAUAGCCUUUCGAAAGAAAGAUUAAUACCCGAUGGUAUCUUAAGCACGCAUGAGAUUAAGAUUAAAGAUUUAUCGGUAAGCGAUGGGGAUGCGUUCCAUUAGGUAGUAGGCGGGGUAACGGCCCACCUAGCCAACGAUGGAUAGGGGUUCUGAGAGGAAGGUCCCCCACAUUGGAACUGAGACACGGUCCAA